CUUCCGUUUCUGCUGACAAACUAAAGCUUGGAACUUUGAAGAGUUUAUUAGCCGGAUUGCUGAUUCUUCAAUUUCCAGUCUCUUUCCUUCACUUUCUCUGCUUCCAAACGAAGAACAAUAUAGUGUAGGAUUAUAUUGUUCGUUAAAAGAAAUGAAUUAUAGAUUCCAAAAUUUGCUAGGAGCUCCCUACAGAGGAGGCAACGCUAUAAUCACCCAAAAUACCCAAUUAAUCUCUCCGGUUGGUAAUCGUGUUUCCAUCACUGACCUUGUAAAAUCCCAAACCAUAACCCUUCCUGUCCAAUCAUCCUCUAACAUCCGCCGUCUCGCUGCCUCCCCCGACGGCACCUUUCUUCUUACUGUUGACGAGAACAACCGCUGCCAUUUCAUUAAUAUACCACGCCGCGUGGUCCUCCACCGUAUAACUUUCAAAAAACCCGUAAAUGCCAUCAGGUUUAGCCCCGACGGCAAGUUCAUUGCGGUUGCCACAGGAAAAUUGGUCCAAAUAUGGAGGUCCCCGGGGUUCAAGAAGGAAUAUUUCGCCUUCGAAUUGGUUAGGACUCUUGCGGACUGCGAGGACACGGUUACGGCUUUGGAUUGGAAUUUAGAUUGUAAGUAUUUGUUAGUAGGGUCCAAGGACUUGACUGCGAGACUUUUUUGUGUUGAGAAAUUGCAGGAAGGGAUUUUGAAUAAGCCUUUUUUGUUUUUGGGGCAUAGAGAUGCAGUUGUUGGGUGUUUCUUUGGUUUUGAUAAGAAAACGAAAAAUGUUGAUAAGGUUUAUACAAUUGCCCGUGAUGGUUAUAUUUUUAGCUGGAGUUAUAAUGGCAAUGAUGAUAAAUUCAGCGAUGACGAUGAGCAAGAUUCAGAGCCACCCUCUCCAGGGACACCAGAGCGUGAUGGCAAAGGGAAUUUGGAUAGUGGAAGCCAGAGUAACCUGAAAAAAAGAAAGGAUUUUGAUGGGAAGGAUGGUAAUUUGGGUGUAAAAGAGGGUUAUUUGCAUAAAGGGAAAUGGGAAUUGCUAAGGAAAGAUGGGUUUAUGCAAUCUCAAACAAAAUUGACUGCUUGUGAUUACCAUAGCUUGCUUGAUAUGGUGGUAGUAGGGUUUUCUAAUGGUGUCUUUGGGUUAUACCAAAUGCCAGAUUUUGUUUGCAUUCAUCUGUUGUCAAUUUCGAGGGAAAAGAUUACUACUGCUGUGUUUAAUGAGACCGGGAAUUGGUUAACAUUUGGAUGUGCAAAGUUAGGGCAACUGCUUGUGUGGGAAUGGCGGUCAGAGAGUUAUAUAUUGAAGCAACAAGGGCAUUACUUUGAUGUGAAUUGCUUGGCUUAUUCACCAGAUUCACAAUUAUUGGCUACUGGGGCAGAUGAUAACAAAGUGAAGGUGUGGACUGUUUCAUCAGGCUUUUGUUUUGUAACAUUCUCAGAGCACACUAAUGCAGUUACUGCACUCCAUUUUAUGGCUAAUAACCAUUGUCUUUUGAGUGCAUCAUUGGAUGGGACAGUUCGUGCAUGGGAUUUAUUUCGCUAUCGAAAUUUUAGGACAUUUACCACCCCUUCUUCAAGGCAGUUUGUUUCUUUAGCAGCAGACCAAAGUGGUGAAGUAAUUUGUGCAGGAACUUUGGAUUCUUUUGAGAUAUUUGUUUGGUCAAUGAAGACCGGCCGUUUGUUGGAUGUCCUUAGUGGACAUGAAGGCCCUGUGCAUGGAUUGAUGUUUUCUUCUACAAAUGCAGUGUUAGCUUCAUCAUCAUGGGACAAAACUGUUCGCUUGUGGGAUGUUUUUGAAGGAAAAGGUGCUGUUGAAACAUUUUCUCAUACGCAUGAUGUUCUUACGGUAGUUUAUCGCCCAGAUGGCAGGCAAUUGGCUUGCAGCACCUUAGAUGGGCAGAUUCAUUUCUGGGACCCUAUCAAUGGCUUGUUAAUGUACACCAUUGAGGGCCGUAGGGAUAUUGCUGGAGGACGCCUCAUGACUGAUCGUAGAUCAGCUGCUAAUUCAACUGCAGGAAAGUGCUUCACAACUUUAUGCUAUUCUGCAGAUGGAAGUUGCAUACUAGCUGGUGGAAGUAGCAAAUACAUCUGUAUGUAUGAUGUUGCUGAUCAGGUUCUUUUGCGCCGUUUUCAGAUAACCCACAACCUCUCACUAGAUGGAGUGCUUGAUUUCUUGAACUCAAAGAAAAUGACAGAUGCUGGUCCACUUGAUUUAAUUGAUGAUAAUGACUCUGAUACAGAAGAAGGUGUUGAUAAACAAGUUCGCGGAAAGUUGGGUUAUGAUUUACCAGGGUCCAUGCCCAAUCGUGGAAGGCCUAUUAUUCGAACAAAAUGCCUGAGAAUUGCACCCACUGGUAGGAACUUUUCUGUGGCAACAACGGAAGGAGUUCUAGUUUAUUCAAUUGAUGAAUCUUUUAUCUUUGAUCCCACGGAUCUUGACAUAGAUGUUACACCAGAGGCAGUUGAUGAAGCACUAAAUGAGGAUCAACCAAACAGAGCUUUGAUUAUCAGCCUUCGCCUGAAUGAGGAUUCUCUAAUAAAGAAGUGCAUUUUUGCUGUCAACCCAUUAGAUAUACCAGUUGUCGCCUCCUCAGUCCCUUACAGAUAUCUACAAAGGUUAAUAGAGGCACUUGCUGAUCUUUUGGAAAGCUGUCCACACUUGGAGUUCAUACUUCGUUGGUGUCAGGUACUUUCCUGGAUAUUCAACUUCUGUAAAUACGAAUUGUUACUGGUAUCCAUAUCUAACUUACAGGAGCUAUGCAAAGCUCAUGGUAACUCUAUUCAACAGAAUUCCAGAAAUCUUCUUCCUUAUUUAAAAUCUUUGCACAAGGCAAUUACCCGAAUACAUCAGGAUUUGGCAGAUACUUGUUCUUCUAAUGAAUAUUUGCUCCGAUAUUUAUGCUCUGCGAGCAAUAAGAAAUGAUGGGCACAUUACAAUAUUGGUAAAGAGUAACUUUGACACCUGUUCGUUAGCAUCUAGUGUCUGUGGCUUCACAUGACAUAACUUCUACAGAAGGUUCAAUUCAUUGGGAAGAACAUACGGCAAGCUCUUUCUUUUUUUUCUAUUGCAUAUGUUGGCAAUGCUGAAUUGCUGAUGGCUCCGAAAGUGCUGUUAAAGUGAUUUUGUUACUGGAAACAUCCAAAUUAUAAGCGUUCCUGUAUAAUAUGCUGUUGUAUAUAUGGAAAUUUUGAUUAUCCUUUUCCCUUUUUUUCAUUUCUUCCUAAGAAAAUACUUCAUUUAGUGGCUGUAUUUCUGUUUCAAGAAUAGAUUGCAAAAUUAUGUAUUGC
rnacentral:misc_RNA from 1 species